AAGAAACGGGAAGCUUUUCCUUUGAGGGGAAUGUCGUCUGGCUCGAGGUUGCUGUGACUGCUUCAUUUUGUGGAAGAGAUCUCGGACCAGGCUUCAUUCCCCCCAAUCAUAGCUUCCAUCU
rnacentral:miRNA from 15 species